rnacentral:rRNA from 1 species
CCUACGGGAGGCUGCAGUGGGGAAUAUUGGACAAUGGGCGAAAGCCUGAUCCAGCCAUGCCGCGUGUGUGAAGAAGGCCUUCGGGUUGUAAAGCACUUUCAGUGGGGAAGAAAGCCUUGGGGCUAAUACCCUCGAGGAAGGACAUCACCCACAGAAGAAGCACCGGCUAACUCCGUGCCAGCAGCCGCGGUAAUACGGAGGGUGCGAGCGUUAAUCGGAAUUACUGGGCGUAAAGCGCGCGUAGGCGGUCUGAUAAGCCGGUUGUGAAAGCCCCGGGCUCAACCUGGGAACGGCAUCCGGAACUGUCAGGCUAGAGUGCAGGAGAGGAAGGUAGAAUUCCCGGUGUAGCGGUGAAAUGCGUAGAGAUCGGGAGGAAUACCAGUGGCGAAGGCGGCCUUCUGGACUGACACUGACGCUGAGGUGCGAAAGCGUGGGUAGCAAACAGGAUUAGAACCCCAGUAGUC